CCUAACCCUAACACCCUUCUGCUUCUUCCUUCAUACCUUAUCAAUGUCAGGGCAACAACAACGGACAAAGAAUGUUGGCGUUUGGGUGGAGGAAAGCGAUUUUCUCGAAAUCAAUAUUACCGCUAUUGGGAAAGACAUGCAUUCUGUUGAAGAUAGACGAAGGUACCGAGCUGACAAUCAAAUGUAAGAAAGGUCUACAAAUAAUGAUCCCAGACCCCAACAAAACUAAAACUCAAGCAGCGAAGGUAACAGCUAAAGGUCAAAUAUAAGAAGCGUCUCCAAAUGAUGUUGGAGGUAUGAAAGUAUUCUUGAAGAUAUAGAGAGAUUUGACUUUCCAUACUAUGGAUGAAGAUCUUGGGAGAAUCCUUACUGUUUGUUUUAUUGUAUAUAGGAUUAUUUCCUUUUCCUUUUAUUGUUUUUAUGUAUAAUACCAUUGUAUCUUUACAUGGAAAACCCACGUUGUGUAGAGAUGAAAAACCACUAGGGUCAGAAACCUCAAAUCAACAAUCCACUGCAUGAAAAAACAGUGUACAAAAUUAUUUAAUAGAUGCUACUAUUAAACUUA